AGAUCAGAAUGUUGGUCGUGCCUUGGUACGUACUGGUAUUAUUGGUUUCUCCCUUCUGACGAACCUUGAUGUCAUUAAUUUGGUGUCUUGGGGAAUCAGGACUGUUACUUUGAAAAAAUUAGAGUGUUUAAAGCAGGCUCACGCUUGAAUACAUUAGCAUGGAAUAAUGAAAUAGGACGUUUGAUUCUAUUUUGUUGAUUUCUAGGAUCGACGUA
rnacentral:rRNA from 1 species